UGAGCAAUCUGCCCUUCUCAUCGGAAUAAGCGUUGGAAACGACGUCUAAUGCCGAAUACGACCUCCUUUCGCAUGAUCGGAGGUGGAAAGCUCCGGCGGAGAUGGAUGAGCUCGCGGCCUAUCAGCUAGUUGGUGAGGUAACGGCCCACCAAGGCGACGACGGGUAGCCGGCCUGAGG
rnacentral:rRNA from 1 species